rnacentral:rRNA from 1 species
UGGGGAAUCUUCCGCAAUGGACGAAAGUCUGACGGAGCAACGCCGCGUGAGUGAAGACGGCCUUCGGGUUGUAAAGCUCUGUGAUUCGGGACGAAAGGCCAUAUGUGAAUAAUAUAUGGAAAUGACGGUACCGAAAAAGCAAGCCACGGCUAACUACGUGCCAGCAGCCGCGGUAAUACGUAGGGCGCGAGCGUUGUCCGGAAUUAUUGGGCGUAAAGGGCUUGUAGGUGGCGUGUCGCGUCUGCUGUGAAAUUCCAGGGCUUAACUUUGGGAUUGCAGUGGGUACGGGCAUGCUAGAGUGCAGUAGGGGAGAUUGGAAUUCCUGGUGUAGCGGUGAAAUGCGCAGAUAUCAGGAGGAACACCGGUGGCGAAGGCGGGUCUCUGGGCUGUUACUGACGCUGAGGAGCGAAAGCGUGGGGAGCGAACAGG